rnacentral:rRNA from 1 species
AUUGAACGCUGGCGGCAGGCCUAACACAUGCAAGUCGAACGAGUGGCGGACGGGUGAGUAAUGUCUGGGAAACUGCCCGAUGGAGGGGGAUCACUACUGGAAACGGUAGCUAAUACCGCAUACCAUCGGAUGUGCCCAGAGUGGAAGCGCUAGUAGGUGGGGUAACGGCUCCCCUAGGCGACGAUCCCUAGCUGGUCUGAGAGGAUGACAGGCCACACUGGAACUGGGACACGGUCCAGACUCCUCCGGGAGGCAGAAGUGGGGAAUAUUGCACAAUGGGCGCAAGCCUGAUGCAGCCAUGCCGCGUGUAUGAAGAAGGCCUUCGGGUUGUAAAGUACUUUCAGCGGGGAGGCGUUACUCGCAGAAGAAGCACCGGCUAACUCCGUGCCAGCAGCCGCGGUAAUUC